UACGUAGGGGGCGAGCGUUGUCCGGAAUCAUUGGGCGUAAAGCGCGUGUAGGCGGUUCGGUAAGUCCGCUGUGAAAGUCGGGGGCUCAACCCUCGGAUGCCGGUGGAUACUGUCGGGCUUGAGUACGGAAGAGGCGAGUGGAAUUCCUGGUGUAGCGGUGAAAUGCGCAGAUAUCAGGAGGAACACCAAUUGCGAAGGCAGCUCGCUGGGACGUUACUGACGCUGAGACGCGAAAGCGUGGGGAGCAAACAGG
rnacentral:rRNA from 1 species